GAUGAACGCUGGCGGCGUGCUUAACACAUGCAAGUCGAACGGGGGUGCCAUGAACGAAGCAUCAGUUUACUGAUAUGGAGGGAAUGGGACCCUAGUGGCGGACGGGUGAGUAACGCGUGGGUAACCUGCCCCAUACCGGGGGAUAACACUUAGAAAUAGGUGCUAAUACCGCAUAAGCGCACGGUACUGCAUGGUACAGUGUGAAAAACUCCGGUGGUAUGGGAUGGACCCGCGUCUGAUUAGCUUGUUGGCGGGGUAACGGCCCACCAAGGCGACGAUCAGUAGCCGGCCUGAGAGGGUGGACGGCCACAUUGGGACUGAGACACGGCCCAA
rnacentral:rRNA from 1 species